CAAUAAGCGGAGGAAAAGAAACUAACAAGGAUUCCCCUAGUAACUGCGAGUGAAGCGGGAUGAGCUCAAAUUUAAAAUCUGGCGUCUUCGGCGUCCGAGUUGUAAUUUAGAGAAGCGUUUUCCGCGCCGGACCGUGUACAAGUCUCCUGGAACGGAGCGUCAUAGAGGGUGAGAAUCCCGUCUUUGACACGGACCCCCGGUGCUCUGUGAUACGCUCUCGAAGAGUCGAGUUGUUUGGGAAUGCAGCUCAAAAUGGGUGGUGAACUCCAUCUAAAGCUAAAUAUUGGCGAGAGACCGAUAGCGAACAAGUACCGUGAGGGAAAGAUGAAAAGCACUUUGGAAAGAGAGUGAAACAGUACGUGAAAUUGUUGAAAGGGAAACGCUUGAAGUCAGUCGCGUCCGCCAGGAUUCAGCCUCACGGUGUACUUUCUGGUGGACGGGCCAGCAUCACUUUCAAUCAUCGGACAAGGUCGAGAGGAAUGUGGCACCUUCGGGUGUGUUAUAGCCUCUUGUCGUAUACGGUGACUGGGAGUGAGGACCGCCUUUGUAGGAUGCUGGCGUAAUGGCUUUAAACGACCCGUCUUGAAACACGGACCAAGGAGUCUAACAUGCCCGCGAGUGUUUGGGUGGAAAACCCAUGCGCGUAAUGAAAGUGAAAGUUGGGAAGGCUGUCGCGGCCUGCACCGACGCCCGGACUCGAGAUUUAUCUAAGGUUCUGCGGUAGAGCGUGUAUGUUGGGACCCGAAAGAUGGUGAACUAUGCCUGAAUAGGGUGAAGCCAGAGGAAACUCUGGUGGAGGCUCGUAGCGAUUCUGACGUGCAAAUCGAUCGUCAAAUUUGGGUAUAGGG
rnacentral:rRNA from 1 species